GAUGAAUCAGGUAAAUUCAUCCACCCAGCACCUUCAAAAUUAAAAAUCCAAAGUUCCAUCUGAUACUGUCGCACGUGUGGAACCUAACUAUUCGGAAAUGUCACAGUGCACUCCAGAAAUUCCAAUAAGAACUUGGGCAGGCCGGACAGGACAACAAGUUAGCUGGCCGUAGGGAAAACGGUCAUCUAAUAAGGCAUGUAUAAGUUUUGGGUUCGUCGGUCGGCCAAGUGCAGUCGGAAACUAUUGCACUGUGGAGGUGAACAAGUGACUGGAGAAGAAAUGCGCUGAAUAAUCACGAGCGAUCACGAGAGCGGUGCGAGUGUGUCAUCGUUGGCCCAAGUGAAGACGGCCAGUGGCGACGACGACGACAACGACAGGAUCAUCAUAAAACUCAAAGAUGCCUGUUGUUAGCAACCCCCUCUGCGGAUCAAGAAGAAACCAACGAAAGUCAUCAGGUGGUUAACGAAGAAGAAGGAAAGAAGCCAGCGCAGGUGGCGGCAAUUAUUGUCAUCCGCAUCAUCUCUUAUUCUACCAGCCAAUCCGCGCGAAGACAACCUGAACGUUGCCAGUCCCAAUUCCGGUCACGUCCGAUUGGCAGUCACACGAAAAAGGCCAGUCGGAACACUAAGUUAUGAUGAAUGAUGGCUCAACAGCAGCAAAUGAAAGUGACAGCGUCUUCUAAUGUUCAGCUCCUACAGCAACAACAGUAUCAUCAUUCCCAGCAGCGGGGGCCGGGGCCCAUGGGUCAUCCCUAUCAUUUCCAGUCGCAACAACACCUAGCCGCAUCCGCACGCCUACCACUACCCCAUGGCGGCCGUAAUGGCCACGAUUACGGUGGAUACAUUGGCGGCGGAGGCUACGAGGCUAUGAUACGGGAUUCGUGGCUGCACUUACUUACGAUCCUACGUCUAGUGUCAACAUUUACGAUCAUCCCAGCCUCCGUCUGGGCGGAGGAGGUCCAUACAGUAGGAGGAAAAGGAACUCCUCGUUUGACGACGUUUGGCGCGGUUCCGGAAAUGGUGGGGGAGGUCCUGAGCUGGCAGAAGGAAUCACCGAGCUGGACGGGGCUCUAGCGUCAGUCCCAAUCGUCCCAAUCACCGAUCCGUCUCGCAGACAACAACGCGCUUCCAGCUAGGCCCAACCUUCCAGGGGUGGCCAAUACACUCCAUCAUCGUCUUGUGGACGUUCUCAGGGAUCAUCUCCCGGUGUCAACAACACUGCAGCGACAACGCCAACCACCACCACCUUCACUACAAACAAGAAUAACAAUCAUCCCCCUCCUCUUCCUGCCACUACUGCCUCUUCCGGAAAUCUGCAAUAUAACAAUUUGAUGGUUAUCCCUCACGGAAGAUCGACAUCGGCUUGCCGAAUUGCAAAAGAAGCAUCGUCCCUUUUCCUCAUGUAAAAAGCUAAAAACAUUCGGAGAUCCACAGUUCCACACAGCGGCUAAUGCCCCCCAUUACUUUCCGAUAUUUAUUUAUAAGGUCUAUCUGGUCCCCCCCCCCUUCCCCCAAUAGAAAAUUGAGAACCUUUGAAUACGAAAUAUGUAUAAUUAACUAAGGAAUUUGUAUUGCUUGGAUUUGUUUUAUAAUAAAGUAUAACUUUUUUUAACAGG